UACAGGGGGGGCAAGCGUUGUUCGGAAUUACUGGGCGUAAAGGGUUCGUAGGUGGCCACUUAAGUCAGACGUGAAAUCCCUCAGCUUAACUGGGGAACUGCGUCUGAUACUGGGUGGCUUGAGUGCAGGAGAGGAAUGCGGAAUUCCAGGUGUAGCGGUGAAAUGCGUAGAUAUCAGGAGGAACACCCAUGGCGAAGGCAGCUUCCUGGUCCAAUUCUGACGCUGAGGUGCGAAAGCGUGGGUAGCGAACGGG
rnacentral:rRNA from 1 species